rnacentral:misc_RNA from 1 species
UGCAGAGUUGCUCCAGAUGUGAAGAAUAAAAUACAUCUUUUUAUUUUUGGCCAAACUGUUGAAAAAGCAAAACCUUUUCAACUUUUCGCAAUUAUGUCCUAUCCUUCCAAUUAUACCAAUUGUCCCAAUUUUAAAAGUUCGUAUUAAUUUUGUCCAUUUGAACAAUUUGACCAAAAUUGGUCAAAAUUAGAAUAAAAUUUAAUAUUCUAAAGGUAUUUCUUUUCUAUAA